rnacentral:rRNA from 1 species
CCUACGGGUGGCUGCAGUGGGGAAUAUUGGACAAUGGGGGGAACCCUGAUCCAGCGACGCCGCGUGAGUGAAGAAGUAUUUCGGUAUGUAAAGCUCUAUCAGCAGGGAAGAAAAUGACGGUACCUGACUAAGAAGCUCCGGCUAACUACGGGCCAGCUGCCGCGGCUAUACGUAGGGGGCAAGCGUUAUCCGGAUUUACUGGGUGUAAAGGGAGCGUAGACGGUGCAGCAAGUCUGUUGUGAAAGGUCGGGGCCCAACCCCAGGACUGCAUUGGAAACUGUUGAACUGGAGUACAGGAGAGGUAGGCGGAAUUCCUGGUGUAGCGGUGAAAUGCGUAGAUAUUAGGAGGAACACCGGUGGCGAAGGCAGCUUACUGGACUGUAACUGACGUUGAGGCUCGAAAGCGUGGGGAGCAAACAGGAUUAGAUACCCUUGUAGUC